CCCAUCAAACGUAUUUAGAUUUUUGUCAGUAAUUAUUUUGAACUAAAACUUGUGAAAGAAAUUAUAAUCACCACACUUGUCAUGAGUUGAGAGACUGUUUACUCUCUGUUCUUCCCCUGGCUGCAUAUUUCUGGGUCCUGUUAGGAACAGCACAUCCACUGUGCCAGUGUCAGGUGGCUGGUAAGGAAUACGGCUCCUUGACAAGAAGAACAUAGCAAUUGAGAGAGGAAAAUUGCAGAGGAGCCGGGAGGACGCAGGAGCCGCAAAGGCUCAGAUGCCAGUGAGAGACCAGGGAAAACGGUUUAAACUUGCUUCUUGAGUGUUUAAACCAAUGGGUGACCCAAAAAUAAAGCCCCACCCCCACCCCACAAAGCCAGAACAAGUACCACUGAGUGAAUCCCACCCUUGGAAUGGAGGAGGUCAGGGAGAUACAGGACGAAGCUUAGUCUGGCAGUGC
rnacentral:lncRNA from 1 species